ensembl:lncRNA
AUGAGUUGCUUCCCCAGAGAGAAAAGAACAAACAGCCCCUUCCCCAGGAGGCUGCAGGCUCCUGAACCCCCUCCUCCGCAGCCACCGNGGAGAAAGCAGCUCUGGGCUGCAUGCAUUCUUGCAUGCACACUGGCGCUGACUCACUUGGCAAGAGGCUUUGCAGUGAUCAACAGGUUGCUCUUUGAUCUGGGUGGAACAGGCAUCCCAUCCAUUCCAGCUAGGGAUGGGGGCAGGGAAGCUGAAAUUUGGGAGCAUUCUCCAGAAUUUUAAAAGCGAUGAUGUAGAAGUAUGCACAGUCAGUAAUAUUAAUAUCUAACGCAUGAAAGGCAGGACAAAAUGUAGUGCAGAGAGACUCUUUCUGAUGCCGCUCCUCACCCCAACGUUCAAAACUAACCACGAUUUACACAUAAGUCCUUAAUAAGGUCCUCCCAAGUGUUCUUUGUUGCUUACUAAGAAGUCUGUCCAAUUUUCAUUAAAAACACCUUCUUAGGUUCAUAAAGCAGGCCUGUGCUAUCUUUGCAUCACAUGUAAACAUAGCAAAUAUCUAUAAUAAAUAUCAAGAAAAAGGUCCAGAAAAUUUAAUAAAUAUCAGGAAAACAUGUUCUUUUUGUACUCAAUAAUCUUGUUAUAUAAAACAUACCUUAAAGUCUCAAUUUGGCAAAUUUAGUCAGUUUCAUAUCUCAUUUUUUCAAUUACUGUCCAAUAGGUCUGUUGCAUCCUGGCAAGCUUUGGUCAUGGGAAAAAGACUUAAAAGUGUGCGGAAUAUUUUAACUGUGUUAUUGUUUUGACUUCCUAGAGAUUACAUUUUUAAACAGAAAAGAUUUUUUUCUCGUACCCACUGGAUCAGUAAUUGCAUGGACUCCUAGGCAUUCUGAUAUAAAUGAUAUGGACCUGAGUAUUGGGAUUUUGAAAAGGACCGCAGGUGGUUCUGAUGCUCAGCCAAGAAAAGAAAAAAAGGAUGAGGCUGAACUGGUUGAAAUUUUCAAACUCAACCAAAACAAUUUNNNNNNNNNNNNNAAAUAUCCAACUUUUAAAAAAGAGUCUUAAGCCUCUCUUUGGAACGUUUAAAUGUUAAAUGGAUUAAACAUUAGAGUUGGAUAGUGAAAUAAUUUUUUUCCCUUCCUUUCUUUCAGUACCAGGUAAGAAAGCUGCUGCUUCUUCUUUUAAAGAAAGGCUUUAUUGCUUUGCCAGGUAAAGGGAGACACACCAGCCUUCUGCCUCAGAAAACUGUGUGUCUCCAGGCAUACUUCUUGAGAACAAAAAUGUCUGUCUUGGAUUCUGAGUUUGUAAAUUGCUUCGGGAUGUCCUCAGACGCUUUUCGUUACAGUUACUUGUUGAAUGGAUGCCUGCUGGGAACAGGAAGAGGGGUAAGCAGUUUUGUGAAUGUUCUGUUUUGCCUAUCUGGUCUGCGAAAUGAUCAUUAUCUAUCAGAGAAGAAUUUGGCUGAUAGCUGGCUUAGGCUGAGAUCCCUAUCCUACCAUCAGCUCCCCUAGAGGCUGACUCACUGCCUAAGGAGAGUCAUAAAAUAAGUUUGAGGGCUUCUGCACAAAGUUAGGCUCUUGAGAAAAAGGAGUAGGUUGAGAAAGGGAAGAGCUGGAGGGAUGACGGGUAACGGUGCACAAAGCACCCCCCUGCCCAUACCCCUAACCCUGAAGUGGGGGGUGGCUACUUGGCUACUAGUCUUCCAGCAGCCUCAGCCAUUCCCCAGUGGCUAGAUACUCUGUAACUCUAUCAUCUUUUUGAUGACACCACUCCCACCUCCUGGAGCCUCAAGUCCUCAAGCUGCUCACCGGCUUCCUAGACUCACAGACCUGCUUUCUUCCAGCAACACUAUCCCUAAAGCUACGUACUCAUUUGCAGGCUUUAAGGACUGAAACUGGUUUCUAGUCAUUUGCAUUUUACUAGCAGAUGCUUCUUUGAAGCAAUGCCUUCCCCUAAAGAAAGGACUAAUGUACUAAUAUCAAUAGAAUUGCAUUAUCACUGCUGAUAGCGGUAUAAAGUGAUACCCAAAGCUUGGAAGACAACUGGUAGUAUCUUCUAUUUAAUGUGUAAAACACAUUUAUCCUUCAAUAUGUCACAUCUACUCUUUGCUAUCUCCUGUGUAGAAAUACUCAACUUCACAAAAAGUUAUAUACGGGGAAGUUAAUGACAGUCAACUACGUAAUAGGAGAAAAGUGGAAAUGAUAUAAAUAUUAUCAUUAUAGGAAUGAUUAAUACAUUAUGGCAUAACCUGAGCAGUUAUAACAAUAUGCCCACACAGAAAGACCCCCCUACCUCAGAACAAAGUGCAGAACAAGUUAGAGUAUGAUACCAGGAAUGUUGAAAACAAAAUAUAAAAUUAUGUACAUGAAUCAAAAAGUUCUGAAAGUAUACAUAGACAGUCCAUGGAGAGGUGGGAUUGAGUGGCAGUCAGAAACAUUUUAAUUUUCCUAUAUUGUUUAAAUUUUUGUAAAGGAAAUGGAUUUAUGUA